GCAUUAAUGGGUUAGUGGUAACCUUAGUCUUUACCAUCUAUUAGUCGCGAGUUCGGUUCUUGCUUAAGGCA